CAGGAGUUUCUCUCCAAGGAGACCAAGGGAGAAGCUCACUGGAUUGGACUCACUGACCGGGGGACAGAAGGCAGCUGGCGCUGGGUGGAUGGCACAGAAUACAGAGCAGACGCAAGCAGGGGGUUCUGGGAAGAGAAUCAGCCAGACAACUGGGAUCAGGGGAUAGGAGGCAGAGAAGACUGUGUUGAGAUCCGCACAUUGCAGCUGAAGCGGUGGAAUGAUGCCAACUGCACUCUGCCUUCUAAGUGGAUUUGUAAGCAGGCCCAUGGACAGGCUGGGCUGUGACAUGCAGGUCCCAGCACCUCAGAAAGCAUUUUAAUUUCCAAGCUAUGGAGCAUGUUUUCCAGCCACCUGCCGAUGAGGAGCCCUGUGCACUGGAGGGGGCCGCAUGGGAUGUGCAUUGCAGGGACGCUUUGUCUUGGUGUGAUAUUUCUGGCUGUAGCAGAGAGAGCUGCCUUAUGCCACUCAGUGUGGCUGGCUCUGUAAUUUGUAUGUUUCCAGGUCUGUCACUGAAUAAAGUCCUUGGAUCAUGGAGUUAUUGUUUCACAAUCACCCAAUAAAUAAUUAUUUGCUUGA